CCUGCACGCCGGCGGACAAGCCUCGAUCGGCAGCCAUGGGUUAAAUCGAGGAAGGGAGCAGGCCACGCUCGGUCGCUGACUGCACAAGAGCCUGUAGGACAGGAUGGGAUCGCCCAUUCACCUACAGCCUUCACCUCGGCUGUUUCCUUCUUGUUGGUGGGGUGACACUAUGGUGAUUGGGUGAUGUGCGCGGCAGCAGCGUAUGAGCAGAGAUUGUACGUUGAUAUUGACAGCAAUGAAUGAACGUCUAGCAAUCAACCAAAUGGAGUCGUCCAUGAAUUUUCUACCAUGACUUUGGGGCGCGAUGUGUGUGGACAGCACAAUCGAUGAUGCGUACUGGUUGGCGUCUUCGGUGGCGCAUUUUCUUGGCUGAGGAAAGAACAGAGCAACUUGAAGGCGAACCCAUUCAAUGUGCUUCCCUCGUUUACACGGCACGUGAGAGGCUCCACCGAAUGAAUAUACGGUGAAGUUGGUGUGGAACUUUACUUGAAUUUAACUGUGGGCCCAGAAUACAGAUGAAGGUAUUAAUACUAUGGUUGAUGAAGCCAUGAAGGACCACACCACAGUACUGUUAGAUUGUUCAACCUUGACUAAUACAACUACGGUAGAUGAUGCAUGCAUGUAAAAAAAUAAAAAUACUCCUCUCCUGGGUGUUUGUCACGUCAGUCUCAUUGUGGCCAGUCCGCUUUUGUAAAGCAAAGUUCCUACUAGUAGAAAGUUUGGCUUGGUAUUCUUUCUGGUCCUUGUCGAUGCACUGUUAUAUAUGAAUGAAUGGAUGGAAAACAAGGGAGGCAAAAAGACUGAAACA